GACGAACGCUGGCGGCGUGCUUAACACAUGCAAGUCGAACGGUAAGGCCCUUCGGGGUACACGAGUGGCGAACGGGUGAGUAACACGUGGGUGAUCUGCCCUGCACUUCGGGAUAAGCCUGGGAAACUGGGUCUAAUACCGGAUAGGACCACUGCCUGCAUGGGUGGUGGUGGAAAGCUUUUGCGGUGUGGGAUGGGCCCGCGGCCUAUCAGCUUGUUGGUGGGGUGAUGGCCUACCAAGGCGACGGCGGGUAGCCGGCCUGAGAGGGUGACCGGCCACAAUGGGACGGAGAUACGGCACAGAAUCCUACGGGAGGCAGCAGUGGGGAAUAUUGCACAAUGGGCGCAAGCCUGAUGCAGCGACGCCGCGUGAGGGAUGACGGCCUUCGGGUUGUAAACCUCUUUCAGCACCGACGAAGCGCAAGUGACGGUAGGUGCAGAAGAAGGACCGGCCAACUACGUGCCAGCCGCCGCCGUAA
rnacentral:rRNA from 1 species